UUCUCUCUUCAGGGUAAAUUCCUCCAGACGAUGCAGUAUGCGGCCACUGGUAUGUCUGUCUCGUGAGGCCAUAGAAGCCGUGGCCAGGGAGGGCCUGGCCUGCUGUGUGCACAUGGAGCUGGAGGGCGUGUUCAGUCUGAAGAACAGCCACUUUGAGCCGCGUUACAUCCUGAUGAUCCCCACAGACAAGGAGCAGUACGGCAGGCGGCUGAGGACCAGAGCUCUGUACACCCGGACCCAGAAUAGAUAAGGCUGUAGCCCGCGUGGAUACAUACGCCCUGAUCAACAGAGAACGCCCAGGCUUCUUCGACAACGUCAUCCCCUGUGAUGAGCCAGUGAGGCAUACAGAAACCCUGAGGCAGGUGGUGAAGGACUAUUGGGAGUGGAGAGCAGGGAGGAGAGGACCAGAGCACCACAGACACCCCAGACAACACCUCCACAGAGUUGAAGAGGUACUCCUUAGUGGACGAGGCGCUCCCAGCCCCCUCCACCAGGCCAGAGACAGUCUUUAUGUCCCGCUCCGCUCCAGACAUGGACCCCUCGGACCAACACUGUAGGAAGUACUACAACAAGGUUCAGGCCCAGCUCACCCCACAGAAGACCUCAGCAGAGCUGGCCUCCAUCCACAGACACAGC